rnacentral:rRNA from 1 species
UACGUAGGGGGCUAGCGUUGUUCGGAAUCACUGGGCGUAAAGCGCACGCAGGCGGAUCGUUAAGUCAGGGGUGAAAUCCCGAGGCUCAACCUCGGAACUGCCUUUGAUACUGGCGAUCUUUGAGUCCGGGAGAGGUGAGUGGAACUCCGAGUGUAGAGGUGAAAUUCGUAGAUAUUCGGAAGAACACCAGUGGCGAAGGCGGCUCACUGGCCCGGUACUGACGCUCAGGUGCGAAAGCGUGGGGAGCAAACAGG